rnacentral:lncRNA from 1 species
UAGGACAUAGCUGAAGAUUCCUUUCUCCUUAAAUUGCUUUCUUCACUUGACUUUUUGACACCACAUUUCUUCUGAUUUUCUUUUUUCUUUGUCAUCUUCACUAUAUUAAUCUUUUUAAUGGUUUUAUCCUCAUCUUCUUGAUCUCUUAAUGUUGGACUUUGUCAGUUGCUUUGACCUUUUUUCUAUCUAUGCUGUCUUGGGAUUCUUAUUUGGCUUUGUGCUUUAAAUACCAUCUGAUGACUGACAGCAUUUUCUUUCUAGUGUGGACCUCACCCCUGGAUUAUAGACAACUUUACUGUGAUACCUGAAAAAUGUCUAAACUUAACAGGUGCAAGCUAGAGCUCUUGAUUUUCUUCUGUCACACAGAUCAGGUCCUGGUACAAUUGUUCCCACCUCAGUUAGUGGUAAUUUCACUUUUAAUUGCUCAGGACAAAAUAUCCCGCAUUCCCCCAAGGGUUUUGUUAGUUUUUGUAUAUUGUCUCUGUUUCUUGUUUCAAAACUUACAACAGAAAAUUCUGUUGUCCCUAUCAUUAAAAUAUAUCUGAAUUUUCCCAUUUUUCAGUACCUUUUCUAUAAUCGUCCUGGUUCUAUCUGCAAACACCCUGCUGUAGAUUUUUACAAUAGUUUCCUGACUGAUCUUUCUGUUUUCAUCUUAUCCCUCUGAAGUCUGUUCUCAGCAAAGCAUUCUGAGUAGAUCUGCCAAAGCAUGCAUCAGCAGAAGUCAUUUCUCUGCUUAAAAACUCUCCAGUGAAUUCAGAUUUUACUUGGAAUAAAAGCCAAUGUCUUUAAAAUGGCCUAAAAACCCUACAUGAUUUGUCUUCCCACCUUUUAUUAUAUUUCUCACUUCCUCUCCUACUACUUCCUAUCCUUCCCACUUUUCAUCAGCCAUACAGAUCUUCACAAAUGUUAGGUAGACUCCCACCUCUGCAAUCUCGCAUUUGUUUAUACCCUCCUUCCUAUGAUGCUAUACCCCAAUCUAUCUACAGAGUGAAUUUCCUCACCUCCUUCAAGUCUUUGCUUAACUGCCAUCUUCUUGAGAGUUCUUCUCUGAGCCCUCUAUUUAACUUAUAUCCCAAUCCCCAACUAGGCCUCCUGGUUCUCCUCUGCAGCUUUAUUUCCUCAGUAACACCUUGAAUCUUACUCUAUAGAUUUAUCAACUUUUACAUGGUCUUUCCCACAGAAACUUCAUGAAGGCAGAGAUUUUUGACUAUUUUAUUUACUGAUAUAACCUCUAUACCUAUAAAAGUGCCUGAGAUUUGCAUUUCUUCAAGCAAAAAGAGUGUUGCAAGAGAGACUUGGUGGCUUGGUAGGAAAAGCUGCAUGUAAGCUAAUGGCUCAAAUGCAGUAUUCCUGACCUCAACUGAGGAUGCUGCAUUCUUUGCCCUGUUUCUUCUCUCAAGUGAUGCCAGCCCUUAGAAGAAAGAACCCAACAUGACAUAAGAGUCUUCUAAGCUGAGAGUAGCAAAUGGCUGUGGAAAUAACCCCACUUGAUUCCUCAUGAUCCUUUGUGCUGUCUACUGCAGGCUGUCACCUCAAUUUCUAUUUCUUCCAUAACUGAGGUAAAGAAGAGUUAAGAAUUUUUGUGUGUAGCUAUUGACAGUCACUUCACAGAUUAAAGGAUGUCCUUAAUAUAAAGUAAAGCUAAAUAUCAGAGACGACAAAAGGUCCAUUUAUUGAAGUUGAAGGUAUGCUCUAGUAACAAGUGGUAGAAAGUACAGCAAGCUGAAACUCAAUAGAUGACUUCUGAUAGUGAUACCACCAUUGGAGUUGGGUAAUCUUCAAUAAACUGGAGUGCUUUUUUUGUCCUCCAGAAUCCUUGCCGUAUAUGGAGAUGGACAAGAGAUAAUUUCUGAGGUAGUUGUAUUUUAUGCCUUUUAGACAAUAAAAAAUACGCGUUUGUUGCCAAGAAGUUGUAAAUCAUAUGAAAGUUUAAUGAUCAAAAUAAACCAUUUUACUUUAAUUCACUCAAAGACAAAUGAAUUUAUAUCUUAUUCAGGCUUACAGUUGGAAGUUAUAAAUUUAAAGGUGAUAAAUGCACAUACCCUAAACUUAAAAUCUUUCAGCUUUUAUAAUAUUUAAUGCAUGCUCUUAUUAUAAAAUUAUUACAUACUAGAUCAUAACUUUUUAAAGUUAUUUUCCCAUUAAGAGCAUCUUUACAAUACUUACACAAGAUAUUUAACUUUUCAAAAGGUAAACACAUAUUUUGAAAGUUCUGUUUUGAUUAUUGUAUUAAUUAGGGAAUUUAGUUGAGAAAAUGACAGCUGAUUAUUUACAUGGUGUGCAGUGAUUACGUGGGAUUAAUUGUCCUUGUGUGCCCCAUUGCUAGCCUGAAGAUUCUGAUUUUAGCAGAGAAGAUGAAGAUGGAAGGGUAGGAUUUUUGAGGGCUUUAAAGUAAUUGAGAGAUAUGCAAGUUCACGAUUUUAUAGAAAAAGGCUACAAACUAAAUUUCAUGUAUAGAUUUAUUAGUAUCUCCUUGUAUGACAUUGAGCAAAUCACUUCAACUUUUUGAGUUUCGUUUUCCCAUUUGUAAACUAAAGGAGUAGGAUUUGCUGAUUACAUAUUUUCUUUAGCUCUAAAGUCCUAUGAAUACGUGCAUCUUUGAGCCAGACAUGAAUUUCCCAUCACUAAUAACUAUGUGGUUAAAUUCCCAUAGGAAAACUCUGUUCACUCUCUUUUACUUUCAUCAUUUGUUGUUCUGCCAAAAAAAAGAGAUCUAUAUUAAGCCUCAAAGAAUGCACUCAUUUUGAUUUUUAGAAAAAUCCCUUAAAUUAAAAUAAAACUACAUUUUCCAAUUUUACUCUUUCUGUUCAUAAAUUUAUGGCAAUAACCAUCCAAUUUUUUUUAUACCAGUGUGGCCAUUUAAAAUUAUGAAAUGCAGUUGAUCAGUGCUUUACCUACUUAGUUAAAGGAAGAUUUUUAACAGGUUAACUCACUUAGAGAUUAAGUGUCAUGACAAAGAUUUGUGAAUGUAUUUCUUUGGAGAGAACUGUUUCUCUUCAGUGGGUCUCUACCCACCAAAACUUCCAUACUACACAACUCUAGCAGGUGCUAUAUGUAGCUUAGUCUAGCUGUAUUACGCUCUUUCUAUUUUUCUUCUAUCUAUCUUUUCCAAAGGGCAACUUAUUGUGGUAAUCGUCAUUACUUGAUGAUGUGAGGCUGAAUUUUGAAAGAUAAGAUCAUUAUAUGCUUACCUUUUUUGAUAAUUAUUUAAACAUAUAUGUCUUAA